rnacentral:rRNA from 1 species
GACAGAGGGUGCAAACGUUGUUCGGAAUUACUGGGCGUAAAGCGUGCGCAGGCGGUUUUACAAGCCAGAUGUGAAAUCCCCGGGCUUAACCUGGGAACUGCAUUUGGGACUGUAAGGCUAGAGUGUGUCAGAGGGAGGUGGAAUUCCACGUGUAGCAGUGAAAUGCGUAGAUAUGUGGAGGAACAUCGAUGGCGAAGGCAGCCUCCUGGGAUAACACUGACGCUCAUGCACGAAAGCGUGUGGAGCAAACAGG